rnacentral:rRNA from 1 species
GGGGAAUAUUGCGCAAUGGGCGAAAGCCUGACGCAGCGACGCCGCGUGAGGGAUGAAGGCCUUCGGGUCGUAAACCUCUGUCAGGAGGGAAGAACCGCCAUGGUGCUAAUCAGCCAUGGUCUGACGGUACCUCCAAAGGAAGCACCGGCUAACUCCGUGCCAGCAGCCGCGGUAAUACGGAGGGUGCAAGCGUUAAUCGGAAUCACUGGGCGUAAAGCGCACGUAGGCUGUUUGGUAAGUCAGGGGUGAAAUCCCGCGGCUCAACCGCGGAACUGCCCUUGAUACUGGCGAUCUCGAGUUCGAGAGAGGUUGGUGGAACUCCGAGUGUAGAGGUGAAAUUCGUAGAUAUUCGGAAGAACACCAGUGGCGAAGGCGGCCAACUGGCUCGAUACUGACGCUGAGGUGCGAAAGCGUGGGGAGCAAACA